rnacentral:rRNA from 1 species
UAGUAGGCGGUGGAAGAUAAUCCAAAAGGGAUUCCYUUCAGUAAUGGCGAAUGAACGGGGAAAAGCUCAGCAAAGAAAUCGAGGACUCCGGCCUUGAGUUGUGGACUUGAGAGGUAUCGCCAAUGGUGGCACAGGUGGGGGCCUCUUGGAAAAGGGCACCACAGAGGGUGUGAGUCCUGUUUGCCAUCUGUAGUCCGCUGUGUACGGCAUGCCUCCUCCGAGUCACGUUCCUUGGAAUUGGAGCGCGAAGGUGGUGGUGGCUUUCAUCUCAAGCUAAGUAUGGGUUCGAGACCGAUAGCAAACAAGUACCAUGAGGGAAAAUUGAAAAGAGCUUUGGAAAGAGAGUUAAAAGUGCCCGAACUUGCUGAUAGGGAAGCGAAGGGAGCUGACGUUGCUUGGUAACAUCUUCCGCGCAGGACUAGGAUGGGUUCUGAUUGCAAUGUGUGUUGUGUUUCUUGCCAUGCGUGUCAAUGCCAAGUAAUGAGUGGGGAGAGCUCCAGGGAUAAUGAUUGUUUCUGUCCCCGGGUAGACGAAUAUGUCUGGGUGCAUCCAUUUGUGGGCUGAAAAAUUGGUGGUUGGUUGCAGCUCCCUGCCUACGAGGCAAUUGGGGUGUAGCCCUGACACGCAGACGAGGACAAAGUGCUUCUGUUCGACCCGUCUUGAAACACGGACCAAGGAGUCUGACACUCAUGCAAGCUCGUUGGUGGGUAAACUUCUUUGCGUAAUUAAGGUGUCUGUUGUGAUUUGUGCACCAACGCCCGACCAAUCAAUUGAGAGAGGUUUGAGUGUGAGCAUUUCUGUCAGGACCCGAAAGAUGGUGAACUAUGCUUGAGAAGGGUAAAUUCAGGGGAAACUCUGAUUGAGGCUCGUAGCGAUACUGACGUGCAAAUCGUUCGUCAUACUUGGGUA